rnacentral:rRNA from 1 species
GUGUCCUACGGGGGGCAGCAGUGGGGAAUAUUGGUCAAUGGUCGGGAGACUGAACCAGCCAAGCCGCGUGAGGGAUGAAGGUACAGAGUAUCGUAAACCUCUUUUGUCAGGGAACAAAGGCGGGGACGCGUCCCCGGAUGAGUGUACCUGAAGAAAAAGCAUCGGCUAACUCCGUGCCAGCAGCCGCGGUAAUACGGAGGAUGCGAGCGUUAUCCGGAUUUAUUGGGUUUAAAGGGGGCGCAGGCGGGCUGUUAAGUCAGCGGUCAAAGCCCGGGGCCCAACCCCGGCCCGCCGUUGAAACUGGG